rnacentral:rRNA from 1 species
UGCCGACGAGUGGCGGACGGGUGAGUAACACGUAGGAAUCUGCCCAACAGAGGGGGACAACCCGGAGAAAUCCGGGCUAAUACCGCAUACGCCCUAUUGAGGAAAGCGGGGGAUCUUCGGACCUCGCGCUGUUGGAGGAGCCUGCGUCGGAUUAGCUUGUUGGUGAGGUAAUGGCUCACCAAGGCUACGAUCCGUAGCUGGUCUGAGAGGAUGAUCAGCCACACUGGGGCUGAGACACGGCCCAGACUCCUACGGGAGGCAGCAGUGGGGAAUAUUGCACAAUGGGCGAAAGCCUGAUGCAGCCAUACCGCGUGUGUGAAGAAGGCCUUCGGGUUGUAAAGCACUUUCGUUAGGGAAGAAAGGUGCGAGGUUAAUAACCUCGUACCGUGACGGUACCUAAACAAGAAGCACCGGCUAACUCCGUGCCAGCAGCCGCGGUAAUACGGAGGGUGCAAGCGUUAAUCGGAAUCACUGGGCGUAAAGCGCGCGUAGGCGGCUUGGUAAGUCAGAUGUGAAAGCCCCGGGCUCAACCUGGGAAUUGCAUUUGAUACUGCCAAACUAGAGUGUAGUAGAGGGAAGUGGAAUUCCGAGUGUAGCGGUGAAAUGCGUAGAUAUUCGGAGGAACAUCAGUGGCGAAGGCGACUUCCUGGACUAACACUGACGCUGAGGUGCGAAAGCGUGGGUAGCAAACAGGAUUAGAUACCCUGGUAGUCCACGCCGUAAACGAUGUCUACUAGUCGUUGGGGGGCUUGUCCCCUUAGUGGCGCAGUAACGCGU